UACAGAGGGUGCAAGCGUUAUUCGGAAUCACUGGGCGUAAAGGGCGUGUAGGCGGUUUGGUAAGUCUGAUGUGAAAGCCCCGGUCUCAAAUCGGGAAGUGCAUUAGAUACUGCUAAACUAGAGUGCAGGAGAGGAGAUCGGAAUUCCAGGUGUAGAGGUGAAAUUCGUAGAUAUCUGGAGGAACAACAGUGGCGAAGGCGGAUCUCUGGACUGUUACUGACGCUGAGGCGCGAAAGCGUGGGGAGCAAACAGG
rnacentral:rRNA from 1 species